AAGGGCGUACGGUGGAUGCCUUGGCAUGCUGAGCCGAUGAAGGACGUGUGAGGCUGCGUUAUGCCUCGGGGAGUUGCCAACUAAGCGUUGAUCCGAGGAUGUCCGAAUGGGGAAACCUGGCACCAGUUGUGUGGUGUUACCCGCAGGUGAAUUCAUA
rnacentral:rRNA from 1 species